CAUUCAUAAUAAGUGUUUUAUGGCACUUUUUAAAUCCAUAUCCACCUUGUGUGCAAUGUCGGUCGAUCUUCUUCAUGGAGAUCGACCAAACAUCAACCUUUAUCUUUUAACUCUUUGUCUGAAAAAUAUUAUGAAUAAACAAUUCAAAAUACAACUUUCAACAACGGAUCUCUUGGCUCUCGCAUCGAUGAAGAACGCAGCGAAAUGCGAUACGUAAUGUGAAUUGCAGAAUUCAGUGAAUCAUCGAAUCUUUGAACGCAUAUUGCGCUCUUUGGUAUUCCGAAGAGCAUGCUUGUUUGAGUAUCAGUAAACACCUCAAAGCUUUUGGAUUUUUUAAUCGAAAAGCUUUGGACUUGAGCAAUCCCAACACCAAUCUUUUUGAGAUCGGUGGCGGGUUGCUUGAAAUGCAGGUGCAGCUGGACAUUCUCCUGAGCUAAAAGCAUAUUCAUUUAGUCCCGUCAAACGGAUUAUUACUUUUGCUGCAGCUAACAUAAAGGGAGUUUGACCGUAUUGGCUGACUGAUGCAGGAUUUCACAAGGGUCGGCAACGAUUCUUGUUAAACUCGAUCUCAAAUCAAGUAAGACUACCC
rnacentral:rRNA from 1 species